GACCUGGUAGUGUAAUGGUUACACAUCCUCCAUCAGUGCUCAAGUGAGUUCUAGUAUGAGGAAGUUCCCUGUUCGAUUCGGGGUUAGGCCA